rnacentral:tRNA from 1 species
GGAUUGUGGCUCAGCGGUAGAGCGCUCGCCUAGCCCGUGCGGGACCUGGGUUCAAUUCUCAGCACCA